rnacentral:rRNA from 1 species
AUGGGCCCCUUCGUCUUCGCGGCCUUCGUCGUCAGCCUCUUCAUCGCGGCCCUCGUCAUCAGCAUCAUGGCAUGUUGUCAAGGCGGAGGGAUAGACGCGGCCACGAUCUCGGCCAAGCUCCCGGCGCCGUUCGUGUUCGAGGGUGCCGCCGCAGUGGAGGAGUGCCCCAUUUGCCUCGCGCCGCUGCGUGCCGGGGAGAAGGUCCGUCGGCUGCCGGCGUGCGGGCACCUGUUCCACGCCGGCUGCGUCGACCAGUGGCUGCACCAACGAGCCACGUGCCCGCUAUGCCGCGCUCCCGUCGCCGGCGCACCCCAGCAGCGGCCGGCUGAGCUGCCUGUCUGA